ensembl:lncRNA
GUACACAGAUUCCGUCUGGACCAUGAAUCAACAAACAUUUCAUUAAAUCAAGAAGCUCAACAUAUUUGAAGGCUGUUGGCUCAAAUGGGAAUAAUUAUGUAUCUGGCAGAUGCAUUGCUGAGAUCAUGCUGAAUUGUUGAGGGUAAUCUUUGAAGCAGCUGCAUAUUAUCAUCUCACAUAGAGGUUUUUUUAGAUUUUAUUUGCUUCUCUAUGGGGAAGCCUCCAGCAGGAUCUCUAUACCCAGCCUAUGUGAGACAUUUUGGUUCUAGACGUCAAUCAAAUCCAAAAGAAGAAAGGAAUUUAUCACAUUCAGAGCCGCGUGAGGAAUAUUGACUUCCCUUUCUGAAUAAUCAUGCAGUUUGAGUUUGUUUCUAGGUUGCGACCUUCAGAUGUUCUCCAUGGAAGCAGCUAUAGCAACAGAAAAGAGCUUAUCCAGGACUAGCUUCUCAGUCAUCAAGCAAAAUGAGUUUUCUUCAUGGAGUGGCCACCUUAAGCCCGCUAUCACUGAGAAUCCAGUGAUACAGUGAUGGGACAGCAGUCUCGAGUAGUUUUGUGUCAGACUCUUACACAACUGUUCUCUGGAGUCCUCAACUAAGUUUCAUGAACUUCUGUUUCAGAUCAGUGAUCCAAAGACCCACAUGGAUUCUGCAUCUAAACUCCAGAGAAAACUCUACAGAAUCAGGCCAUGUGUAAUUGAAGAAAUUCCACCCAUCCUCUGUCCCUCGGAUACUUUGCCUGGAGCAACCUGGAGUUAAGUGCUUUGCUCAAGGGCACGAUGGAGAUGGUUCAUGGCUCACAUUGUUUGGGGAUCAAACAGAGACUCUGAGGUGAAAAAUCAAAAGCAAGAAAUUGAACCUUCAGUAGAAGCAAAACCAACCACAGAUCUACAUGUCACAGAUCAGCUUUGGAUUAAGCAGCAGCCACCCUGCUUAGCAACACCCCAGAUACCACCCAGAACACCCUGUCAACUGCAUAAGAACACCUUUUCCUUUCACCUUUCCUGAGAUUUCCC